CAAUAAGGAGGUGUUUCUUCUUGUCUUCAGGCCCCUUGAUAUCAGCUUUUUCAUACAGAGCUAAAGAUCCCAAUCCAUAUAUUCGAGCUGGUUUCAGCUCUCUCUCAGCUCGGGCAUAUUUUGCUGCCGCUACCAUUUUCAUAGACUUGGUAAUUUUCUGGAUGUUUUUGAUGGACUUUAGUCUCCUGGUGAUAUCUUUCAAAGUUGCCAUAUUUCGAACUUGAAUCCAUUGCGGCUGCAAGGUCCAGGCCGACAGCCCAGCGACACCCGCGCGAGAGAACAUGGUAGCCACAGCC
rnacentral:lncRNA from 1 species